rnacentral:rRNA from 1 species
AUACGUAGGUCCCGAGCGUUGUCCGGAUUUAUUGGGCGUAAAGCGAGCGCAGGCGGUUAGAUAAGUCUGAAGUUAAAGGCUGUGGCUUAACCAUAGUACGCUUUGGAAACUGUUUAACUUGAGUGCAAGAGGGGAGAGUGGAAUUCCAUGUGUAGCGGUGAAAUGCGUAGAUAUAUGGAGGAACACCGGUGGCGAAAGCGGCUCUCUGGCUUGUAACUGACGCUGAGGCUCGAAAGCGUGGGGAGCAAACAGGAUUAGAUACCCUGGUAGUCCACGCCGUAAACGAUGAGUGCUAGGUGUUAGACCCUUUCCGGGGUUUAGUGCCGUAGCUAACGCAUUAAGCACUCCGCCUGGGGAGUACGACCGCAGGGUUGAA